rnacentral:lncRNA from 13 species
UAUUAAGCAAUAUCUGUCGGUAAAAUGGUUGAUAAAUCUCGCAUGGUACAUACUGGUUCAUGCUUUGUUUUCGUUACAUGUGCAACCAUGUGCAACGCAGAACGUGCGCGGAUUUAUAUUUCAAUAUAUUUCAAAAGUAUUCAGCAGUGUUCAGCAGUGUUCAGCAGUGUUCAACAGUGUUCAGAUUUUGUCCGGAAAGAAGAGAAAGAAGUAGUUCAGAGGCCUACCCGUACAACCUAUUGAUAAGAAAUAUGAGAAAUUGUUGCGUCUCUGGAUGUUCUUCGGGCUACAAAGCUCCUCGUCAUGAGUUAGAAUAGCCGAUCGGAGAAGGAUAGCACCGGUACGUCAGUCCACGAUGGACCGCCUCUCCGCUUCUGGUCUGACUGGUUGUCACUGGUCGUAAAAGGAGCGUUAAUUCCAUGAGCGGUAUUCUAUCAGGGGCUAUUAAUUUCUGUCAACUCGAAGAAUGUAUUAAUAAAUGGACCUUGGAGUUGAAAGAGCAAGAAUAAGU